GGGUUGUGAGGUUAAGCGACUAAGCGUACACGGUGGAUGCCCUGGCAGUCAGAGGCGAUGAAGGACGUGCUAAUCUGCGAAAAGCGUCGGUAAGGUGAUAUGAACCGUUAUAACCGGCGAUGUCCGAAUGGGGAAACCCAGUGCAAUUCGUUGCACUAUCGUUAACUGAAUACAUAGGUUAACGAGGCGAACCGGGGGAACUGAAACAUCUAAGUACCCCGAGGAAAAGAAAUCAACCGAGAUUCCCCCAGUAGCGGCGAGCGAACGGGGAGCAGCCCAGAGUCUGAAUCAGCUUGUGUGUUAGUGGAACGGUCUGGAAAGUCCGACGGUACAGGGUGAUAGUCCCGUACACCAAAAUGCACAGGCUGUGAACUCGAAGAGUAGGGCGGGACACGUGGUAUCCUGUCUGAAUAUGGGGGGACCAUCCUCCAAGGCUAAAUACUCCUGACUGACCGAUAGUGAACCAGUACCGUGAGGGAAAGGCGAAAAGAACCCGGCGAGGGGAGUGAAAAAGAACCUGAAACCGUGUACGUACAAGCAGUGGGAGCACCUUCGGGUGUGACUGCGUACCUUUUGUAUAAUGGGUCAGCGACUUAUAUUCUGUAGCAAGGUUAACCGUAUAGGGGAGCCGCAGGGAAACCGAGUCUUAACUGGGCGUUAAGUUGCAGGGUAUAGACCCGAAACCCGGUGAUCUAGCCAUGGGCAGGUUGAAGGUUGGGUAACACUAACUGGAGGACCGAACCGACUAAUGUUGAAAAAUUAGCGGAUGACUUGUGGCUGGGGGUGAAAGGCCAAUCAAACCGGGAGAUAGCUGGUUCUCCCCGAAAGCUAUUUAGGUAGCGCCUCGUGAACUCAUCUUCGGGGGUAGAGCACUGUUUCGGCUAGGGGGUCAUCCCGACUUACCAACCCGAUGCAAACUACGAAUACCGAAGAAUGUUAUCACGGGAGACACACGGCGGGUGCUAACGUCCGUCGUGAAGAGGGAAACAACCCAGACCGCCAGCUAAGGUCCCAAAGUCAUGGUUAAGUGGGAAACGAUGUGGGAAGGCACAGACAGCCAGGAUGUUGGCUUAGAAGCAGCCAUCAUUUAAAGAAAGCGUAAUAGCUCACUGGUCGAGUCGGCCUGCGCGGAAGAUGUAACGGGGCUAAACCAUGCACCGAAGCUGCGGCAGCGACACUAUGUGUUGUUGGGUAGGGGAGCGUUCUGUAAGCCUGCGAAGGUGUGCUGUGAGGCAUGCUGGAGGUAUCAGAAGUGCGAAUGCUGACAUAAGUAACGAUAAAGCGGGUGAAAAGCCCGCUCGCCGGAAGACCAAGGGUUCCUGUCCAAC
rnacentral:rRNA from 1 species